UUCUAUCCAUGGUAUUUACCUUGUACAAUGGGGUGUCUGUGUCUAAAAUACCUGAGAGGAAUGAGCAGAAUUCAAACCAAGCUCAGAAGCUGUGUGGGAAAGCAGAGCCAUGCUUUAUGACCAAAUACUGUCAUGCAGAAAGCUCCUUUCUGCUGUUUGACUUCCCAGUAUACAUUCAGCCACCGAGCCAGUUUUGAUAGGUGCAAAAACGUGCACCUUUUCCAUGGGUGAGGCAAGCAGCCACGCUCAUAGUAAUAGAGAAGAAGAACUGAAUUUUGCCUAGAUUUGACUCAUAAUUUUCACUACCAGUACCAUAGGAGCAGUCUUACAUCCCUCCAUAGUCUGAUGAUCAAGAUCCUCAAUCUCACUGAAGGGUCUCUGUGUGUAUGCCAUCAUCAGCCUAAUAGCUACUCGGUCACCAUGCAGUAUCCCUACAUUUGCAUAAAUGCUGAGACUGACAAUAAAGUUUCCAGUUAGUGCCAAAAUAAUCUGUGACUGAGAAACUGAGAUACUUGUUUGGGAUGUGACUGUUCCAAGAUCCUGCAGUGGUCCUUUAUCUAAACCAAAGCUGGAAUUCUGGAAUUCCCUCUCAGAGUCAAUCCUGUUCUUGCUUAACUGCUGACUUCUUUCUUCAUCUUCAAACUAUUGUUUUUUAUUCUAAUACAUACACAUAUAGCAUGCUUAUUUAUUCUUUAUAUUUUGAAUCCUGAUUUAGAGUUGUUGUUGUCUCAUGAAGAAAAUGCUGGUAAUUUUCCUCUUGUUAUUUGAAAGGCAAAGAAAUACAAGCCUCAAUUUUCUUCUGUAGUUGGCUGAAGUCUCACAAUCAAAUGUUGCUUCCUUCAGCUUUUGAAGUAAAAUUAAAAGAAGCUCUUGCCCUGCAGUUAUUGGCAGCUGCUGCAGUGGUUAAUUACCCAUGUUUCAGGCUCAGAUUUACUGUACAGCUUAAUCAGCAUUUCUCCAGGCUUGUGUAAUCUAGGAACGGUUUUCUGAAGCAUGGCAAGAGGUACAUACAUGCCAUAAAAAACCACUGUGUGGAUGAAUACACCAUUUAAAUGUCACUGUCAUCAUUCUAAAACUCUGAGUGGGAACAGAGAUUUCCAUUGUCUGAUGGGGCAAAGAUACAGAUUCUUUCAAACUUUUUGUUUUACUUCAGACUGGAACUGCACCGAGAGCUGUAUCAAGGACUUUGGUUCUACUCAAUCCAUAGGUCAAAAUAGAGCACUUACAAGAUACCUAUUGCAAAUUUAUUUUUAUCAUACCACUGAGUUCACGUGGCUUCCCACAUAAUUAAAACAAAUGUCUGAAUUCAAAGAUCAUCUCUUUCCCUAUUAUGCUGCAAUAUCCAAGACUUUUCAAUGUUGUGGAAAAAGAAAACAACUUUCCAUCACCUUCCUCCAGCCUGAAAUUUAGACCGACGCCAGCACAGAUCAAAGAGUAUCAUUUAAGACAAUUGUCCACAGUGUACGACAUCAUAUUUCAAGUCCUCAAGAACUCAGACCUUUGCCUUCCAUACUGUUGGUGAGUUCAUCAGCAUCAGAGUAUUAUGAAUAAGAUUCGUCACUAACUUUGACCAGUAGAAGACACACUGAAAUUGCUAUGAUUCUACAGAGGUUUUUUUAACAUCACUGAACAUAAAAAAGUCAUUACAUUGAGAAACUGAACCUGAAUUCUGCUUUGGACAGUGACUAGACUUGACAGUAAAGGGAAGAAGGAGUAUAAGUCACCUUAGAACUUAAAAAAGGUGCUUCAGUGACUUUUCACUAAAAGGUACUGCAGAAAAUUUCAGACAAGUCUGUUUCUCUUUCAUAUUAACAUUCUCUAAAUUACUAUUUUUUUUUACUAUUUUUGAACCAUCCAGAAGCUUCGUUGUGCAAGUCCAGCAUGAAAAAUGACUUAAAGAAUGUGCUUUCCAAACUCAGACAAAGCCUGAUUAGAUACAGGUUGCAAUCAAGGAAACAAAGCUGACAUUGUAAGGAUAAAUCUGUCAUUUCACAUAGGCAGGAAGAUACAGUUCUAUAGGUUUGUGAAUGGUUCAACUAAUGGUCUAAUGGUACUCAAGUCAAAUUAAUUACAUCAAUUUCUUUUACUGAACUUUCGUGCCAAACUUUUGAAGAAUAUUCUGUUUAAGACUCAGAUUGAUUCAAUAUUGUGAAAAAACAGCUGAAUUUCCUUGCAUACCUAUUUCCAUUUGCAGCUAAUUGUAGGUGUCAUUCUAUAUAUUCAUAUAGACUAUGCAGAAUAGUGAAAUGUCUUUUUUUUUCUCUUUUUUCUUUUUUUUUCUAUUUUGAUGUUAGCAGAAAAACAAAUGUGGCAGUUAUGAGGCACUGUCUUUGACAGAACAAAUGAUCUGUAAUUUUACUCAGAAAAAGGAAAAUUUAUGGAUGGAGGGAAAAUGGGGCAUUUCUCAAACAGAAAAAGAUCAAGGGAAGUUUUUUUUUUUUUAAUUCUGUUUACUGAAACUAAUUAGUAUUGCAGAACUUUUUAGUGACAUUAUUUCUUUUUUUUUUUUUUUUUUUUUUUUUUUUUUUAGUUAUGAACUGGAUAAUCAGCUAUUGAGUAUAAUUGUGCCUAUCCAAACUGCAUAGAUUUAAAUGACCUAGAGGCUUUUUAACCUUAUAUUUCUUCACUGGUCAAAUUUGUCUGCUACUAAUUUAGAAUUUAAGAUUGUUAAAUCUUAAUGCAAAAAUGCUGAUCAGCCUUGAGCUUUAAUUCUUGUAUACAAAACACAGACCUGCUAUGGAAUAUAGAGAAAUGUAUGUGGUAAGGAAGGACCUACUUUAUACUACAUUGCUAACUUGACAGAUAUUUGCUCUAUAUUUUACCCCCUCUUUAUAUCUGUGUAAAUGAUGAAGCUAGAUUAGAAUAUAAUCUAGGAUUCUCUAAGAUGCUUACAAAAUAUAGAUGAAUUAUUUAUUAUCAUAAAUGUAUUAUCAUAAUUCACUGGAAAGAGAAGUUUGUGGGUUUGUUUGUUUGCUGGUUGGUUGCUUGCUUGCUUCUCAUUUUGUUUUUAAAUGCAGAUGCCAGUGAAUAAAAUGAGGAAAUAAAACUAAGCACCUGAUACUCUUUCGUGCCAUAAAACGUAUUUUCUACACUUACCAUAUGGUCUACCUGCCACUGAUGUAUCUCUAUAAACAGCACAGGUGUAUCUGCAGUAAAACGGGGUUAGAAUGAGCAGAACUUAUCCUCUGCAUUUCUAAAAGGAAAAAUUGGAUUUAUUUUACCUGUAAAGCAGAAUUUUCCUGAUCUUUCAUCUUUUCAAGGUACUCCAAGUAAUUCAACCAGAUAUGCGUCAGAGCCUAAAACAUAGUCACAUCUGCUGCUCUGCAGCAGAGAGAUCAUUAAAUACAUUUACAUUUCUAAAAAAUAGAAUUAAUUCAAACUGAUUUCCCUGUAUUUCUGUCAGGAAAGAGAAUAUUUUCAUCUAAAAUCAAUGCUGAAAUUCCAAACUAGAUUUCUGGAUUUAUAAAUUACUUUACUGUGAUGGUAGCUAUGUACACAUGGAUAUUAAUUCACGUGAUGGUUCUGUGUGAUCAUGAAAGCAUUCUUGCUCACACUUCUCACUGUGAAAAAUAAAUGAAAAUAAAGAGAAUAAGAGGCUCUUACUCUAUUUAAAGAGUUGUAGAGCUACUAAAGUAGAGCAAUUACAGAAUAGCUAUCCUUGUAUGACACCAGAUGUAUGUCUUCUUUUGCCAUAUAUCAUAAGCUACCAUUGAAAACUUUUAUAAAAACAUGCUUCUUUCACACUGUAAAAAGAAACAAAACAAAAACCAAAACAAAAUAAAAAACAAAGCAAAACAAAACAAAAUGUAUUGUACCUCACAUACCAAUGAAUGAACAAGCACUAUUUGAAGACAGUAGCCAAGUGUGAUCUUGGAAUGAUGUUAACGUAGACCUCAGAUAUUUCUUCCAUUACAAUAAUUAAUGUGAAAUAAAUUUCCCUUCUUUUUGAAUGUACAAUAGACAACAAAUUAAAUUUGCAAAAAUUGCAGGUUUCUGAGUAUUCAUUAUUAUGAAAACACCUUUCACUAAAUGAUUUUAUUCUGGCAUGGAGAUAAGCUUUCCUUUUGGAUUACUAGCAAGCUUUCCAAAUUGCAACUUAUAGGAGAAAAAAAUAACAGGAAAGCAGGAAAACUUUCUAUAACUAGUUUUCAGCUGUGACUUUCAACUCUUGACCUAAAAUAUUACUGCUGGUUAUACAGUAGCAAAUGUUUUUGUCAUUAUUUUAUUAAAUUUCAUAGCAAAGGAAAAGAACAGUGCAUCAAUGCUUUAUGUUUUCUUUAGGGGAAAAGCAAGCCUGGGUCACAGAGGGCCAAUGGGAAUAUAUACUGUAUGCAUCAUAUUUAUUCUGUUUGCAAAUGCCAAGUGAUUGAACAUCUGCAAGCCUGUAUUUAAAGAAAAAACUUUCCCAGACAGUUUGA